GGGGCUGUGGCUCAGUGAUAGAGCAUCUGCUUGGCAUGAAGAAUGUCCCGGGUUAAUUUCUGGGCAUCUCCA
rnacentral:tRNA from 1 species